rnacentral:rRNA from 1 species
GGGGGGGGCAAGCGUUGUUCGGAAUUACUGGGCGUAAAGGGCUCGUAGGCGGCCAACUAAGUCCGACGUGAAAUCCCAAGGCUUAACCUUGGAACUGCGUCGGAUACUGGAUGGCUUGAAUUCGGGAGAGGGAUGCAGAAUUCCAGGUGUAGCGGUGAAAUGCGUAGAUAUCUGGAGGAAUACCGGUGGCGAAGGCGGCAUCCUGGACCGACAUUGACGCUGAGGAGCGAAAGCUAGGGGAGCAAACGGGAUUAGAUACCCCGGUAGUCCUAGCCCUAAACGAUGAAUGUUUGGUGUGGCGGGUAUCGAUCCCUGCCGUGCCGAAGCUAACGCAUUAAACAUUCCGCCUGGGGAGUACGGUCGCAAGGCUG